rnacentral:misc_RNA from 1 species
UCCUCGUUUAAGCGAGGCAGUCUGUCCAGAGUGCUUCGAACUCUCGUUCGAGUGGCAACAGGACACAAGGGUUGCGCUCGUUGCGGGACUUAACCCAACAUCUCACGACACGAGCUGACGACAGCCAUGCAGCACCUGUGUAGACUCCCCUUGCGGGGUCGUCACUCCUUCAAGCUUCUACCAUCUACAUGUCAAGGCCAGGUAAGGUUCUUCGCGUUGCAUCGAAUUAAGCCACAUACUCCACCGCUUGUGCAGGCCCCCGUCAAUUUCUUUGAGUUUUAAUCUUGCGACCGUACUUCCCAGGCGGCACAUUUAACGCGUUGGCUACGCCACAAAAGGGGUCGAUUCCUUUUACAGCAAAUGUGCACCGUUUACGGCUAGGACUAC